rnacentral:lncRNA from 1 species
CUGAAAAUAUGGUCGGCAUCAAUAUACACGGCAUUAUUCAAUAUACACGGCAUCAAUAUACACGGCAUUAAUCAGUAUACACGGCAUCAAUAUACACGGCAUUAUUCAAUAUACACGGCAUCAAUAUACACGGCAUUAUUCAAUAUACACGGCAUCAAUAUACACGGCAUUAUUCAAUAUACACGGCAUCAAUAUACACGGCAUUAUUCAAUAUACACGGCAUCAAUAUACACGGCAUUAUUCAAUAUACACGGCAUCAAUAUACACGGCAUUAUUCAAUAUACACGGCAUCAAUAUACACGGCAUUAUUCAAUACACACGGCAUCAAUAUACACGGCAUUAAUCAGUAUACACGGCAUCAAUAUACACGGCAUUAUUCAAUAUACACGGCAUCAAUAUACACGGCAUUAUUCAAUAUACACGGCAUCAAUAUACACGGCAUUAUUCAAUAUACACGGCAUCAAUAUACACGGCAUUAUUCAAUAUACACGGCAUCAAUAUACACGGCAUUAUUCAAUAUACACGGCAUCAAUAUACACGGCAUCAAUAUACGCGGCAUUAUUCAAUAUACACGGCAUCAAUAUACACGGCAUUAUUCAAUAUACACGGCAUCAAUAUACACGGCAUCAAUAUACACGGCAUUAUUCAAAAUACACGGCAUCAAUAUACACGGCAUUAUUCAAUAUACACGGCAUCAAUAUACACGGCAUUAUUCAAUAUACACGGCAUCAAUAUACACGGCAUCAAUAUACGCGGCAUUAUUCAAUAUACACGGCAUCAAUAUACGCGGCAUUAUUCAAUAUACACGGCAUCAAUAUACACGGCAUCAAUAUACGCGGCAUUAUUCAAUAUACACGGCAUCAAUAUACGCGGCAUUAUUCAAUAUACACGGCAUCAAUAUACGCGGCAUUAUUCAAUAUACACGGCAUCAAUAUACGCGGCAUUAUUCAAUAUACACGGCAUCAAUAUACACGGCAUUAUUCAAUAUACACGGCAUCAAUAUACACGGCAUUAUUCAAUAUACACGGCAUCAAUAUACACGGCAUCAAUAUACACGGCAUUGUUCAAUAUACACGGCAUCAAUAUACACGACCAAUAUAG